AUGAACGCUAGCGACAGGCCUAACACAUGCAAGUCGAGGGGCAGCGCGGAUCAAGCUUGCUUGAUUUGGCGGCGACCGGCGCACGGGUGCGUAACAGGUGUGCAAUCUGUCCAUAAUCGGGGAAUAGCCCAGCGAAAGUUGGAUUAAUGCUCCAUGUGAGUUUUAGAGGCAUCUCUUUAAUUUGAAACGUAAGGAUUAUGGGUGAGCACGCUUCUGAUUAGGUAGUUGGUGAGGUAACGGCUCACCAAGCCGACGAUCAGUAGGGGUUCUGAGAGGAAGGUCCCCCACAUUGGAACUGAGACACGGUCCAAACUCCUACGGGAGGCAGCAGUGAGGAAUAUUGGUCAAUGGGCGAAAGCCUGAACCAGCCAAGUCGCGUGAAGGAUGAAGGUUCUAUGGAUUGUAAACUUCUUUUAUUCGAGGGUAAAACAGCGGACGUGUCCGCUCUUGCAAGUAUCGAAUGAAUAAGCAUCGGCUAACUCCGUG
rnacentral:rRNA from 1 species